CGUGACUUGAGUAUGGGCAUGCAGUUUGGAAAGAAAAUGCAUCCACAUCUCAAGCUAUUGA
ensembl:miRNA